rnacentral:rRNA from 1 species
CUACGGGCCGCACCAGUGAGGAAUAUUGCACAAUGGGGGGAACCCUGAUGCAGCAACGCCGCGUGGAGGAUGACGCAUUUCGGUGUGUAAACUCCUUUUAUAUGUCAAGAAAAUGACGGUAGCAUAUGAAUAAGCGCCGGCUAACUCCGUGCCAGCAGCCGCGGUAAUACGGAGGGCGCAAGCGUUACUCGGAAUCACUGGGCGUAAAGGACGCGUAGGCGGGUUGAAAAGUCAGGUGUGAAAGCCUACAGCUUAACUGUCGAACUGCACGUGAAACUCUCAGCCUAGAGUAUGGGAGGGCAGAUGGAAUUAGUGGUGUAGGGGUAAAAUCCGUAGAUAUCACUAGGAAUACCUAAAGCGAAGGCGAUCUGCUGGAACAUUACUGACGCUAAGGCGUGAAAGCGUGGGGAGCAAACAGGAUUAGAUACCCGUGUAGUC